rnacentral:misc_RNA from 1 species
GAUGAAGAACGUAGCGAAAUGCGAUAACUAAUGUGAAUUGCAGAAUUCAGUGAAUCAUCGAGUCUUUGAACGCACAUUGCGCCCCUUGGUAUUCCAUGGGGCAUGCCUGUUCGAGCGUCAUUUGUACCUUCAAGCCUUGCUUGGUGUUGGGUGUUUGUCUCGCCUCUGCGCGCAGACUCGCCUCAAAACAAUUGGCAGCCGGCGUAUUGAUUUCGGAGCGCAGUACAUCUCGCGCUUUGCACUCAGAACGACGACGUCCAAAAGUACAUUUUUACACUCUUGACCUCGGAUCAGGUAGGGAUACCCGCUGAACUUAAGCAUAUCAAUAAGCGGAGGA